CGCUGGCGGCGUGCCUAACACAUGCAAGUCGAGCGGGGACAUGCGACGGAUAUGAAGUUUCGGAUGGAGUUGAAGAUGUAUGUUCUAGCGGCGGACGGGUGAGUAACGCGUGAACAAUCUGUCCUUCACAGGGGGAUAACACAGCGAAAGUUGUACUAAUACCGCAUGAGACCACGGUACUGCAUGGUACAGGGGUCAAAGGAGCAAUCCGGUGAAGGGUGAGUUCGCGUCCGAUUAGAUAGUUGGUGAGGUAACGGCCCACCAAGUCGACGAUCGGUAGCCGACCUGAGAGGGUGAUCGGCCACAUUGGGACUGAGACACGGCCCAAACUCCUACGGGAGGCAGCAGUGGGGAAUAUUGGGCAAUGGGGGAAACCCUGACCCAGCAACGCCGCGUGAGGGAAGAAGGUUUUCGGAUCGUAAACCUCUGUCCUAGGUGAAGAGGAAGAGACGGUAGCCUAGGAGGAAGCCCCGGCUAACUACGUGCCAGCCGCCGC
rnacentral:rRNA from 1 species